UACGAAGGGGGCUAGCGUUGCUCGGAAUUACUGGGCGUAAAGCGCACGUAGGCGGCUUUCUAAGUCGGGGGUGAAAUCCUGGAGCUCAACUCCAGAACUGCCUUCGAUACUGGAGAGCUCGAGUCCGGGAGAGGUGAGUGGAACUGCGAGUGUAGAGGUGAAAUUCGUAGAUAUUCGCAAGAACACCAGUGGUGAAGGCGGCUCACUGGCCCGGUACUGACGCUGAGGUGCGAAAGCGUGGGGAGCAAACAGG
rnacentral:rRNA from 1 species